rnacentral:rRNA from 1 species
ACAGGGAUUGCCCUAGUAACGGCGAGUGAAGCGGCAACAGCUCAAAUUUGAAAUCUGGCUCUUUUAGGGUCCGAGUUGUAAUUUGCAGAGGGCGCUUUGGCGUUGGCAGCGGUCCAAGUUCCUUGGAACAGGACGUCACAGAGGGUGAGAAUCCCGUACGUGGUCGCUGGCCUUCGCCGUGUAAAGCCCCUUCGACGAGUCGAGUUGUUUGGGAAUGCAGCUCUAAAUGGGAGGUAAAUUUCUUCUAAAGCUAAAUACUGGCCAGAGACCGAUAGCGCACAAGUAGAGUGAUCGAAAGAUGAAAAGCACUUUGGAAAGAGAGUCAAAUAGCACGUGAAAUUGUGAAAGGGAAGCGCUUGCAGCCAGACUUGCCUGUAGUUGCUCAUCUGGGCUUUUGUCCAGUGCACUCUUCUACAGGCAGGCCAGCAUCAGUUUGGGCGGUUGGAUAAAGGUCUCUGUCACGUACCUCCUUUCGGGGAGGCCUUAUAGGGGAGACGACAUGCAACCAGCUGGACUGAGGUCCGCGCAUCUGCUAGGAUGCUGGCGUAAUGGCUGUAAGCGGCCCGUCUUGAAACACGGACCAAGGAGUCUAACAUCUAUGCGAGUGUUUGGGUGUCAAGCCCGGACGCGUAAUGAAAGUGAACGGAGGUGGGAACCCUUUUAGGGUGCACCAUCGACCGAUCCUGAUGUCUUCGGAAGGAUUUGAGUAAGAGCAUGGCUGUUGGGACCCGAAAGAUGGUGAACUAUGCUUGAAUAGGGUGAAGCCAGAGGAAACUCUGGUGGAGGCUCGCAGCGGUUCUGACGUGCAAAUCGAUCGUCAAAUUUGGGCAUAGGGGCGAAAGACUAAUCGAACUAUCUAGUAGCUGGUUCCUGCCGAAG